AAGUAUUGAAGGUCAAGCCUGCCCAGUGAACUAAUUUAUUUAACGGCCGCGGUAUCCUAACCGUGCAAAGGUAGCGUAAUCACUUGUCCCCUAAUUAGAGACCUGUAUGAACGGCUAAAUGAGGGCUCACCUGUCUCCUAUAACCACUCAAUGAAAUUGAACUCUCAGUCCAAAAGCUGAGAUAACCUCAUAAGACGAGAAGACCCCGCGGAACUUCAAACAGCCCACUGCCAUCAACACCUGGCCAAAUUCGGCCACUGACAACUGGAACAAGUAGGACAGCUGUUUUAAGUUGGGGCGACUGUGGAGUAAUACAAAACCUCCAUGAACAAGGGCUUUUCCCCCAUUUUAGACCAACCAGCCUAAAAUACCACACAUUUUGACCCAGUCAAACUGACCAUCGAACCAAGCUACCCCGGGGAUAACAGCGCCAUCCUCUUCAAGAGCCCAUAUCGCCAAGAGGGCUUACGACCUCGAUGUUGGAUCAGGACACCCAGGCAGUGCAGCCGCCGCCAAAGGUUCGUUUGUUCAAC
rnacentral:rRNA from 1 species